rnacentral:rRNA from 1 species
UACGGGGGGGGCAAGCGUUGUUCGGAAUUACUGGGCGUAAAGGGCUCGUAGGCGGCCAACUAAGUCAGACGUGAAAUCCCCAGGCUCAACCUGGGAACUGCGUCUGAUACUGGAUGGCUUGAAUCCGGGAGAGGGAUGCAGAAUUCCAGGUGUAGCGGUGAAAUGCGUAGAUAUCUGGAAGAACACCAGUGGCGAAGGCGGUCAACUGGCCCGUAACUGACGCUGAGGCGCGAAAGCCAGGGGAGCAAACGGG